UGCUACAGAUGAUGGACUCGGACAUU
rnacentral:piRNA from 1 species